UACAGAGGGUGCAAGCGUUAAUCGGAGUUACUGGGCGUAAAGGGCGCGUAGGCGGUUGUAUAAGUGAGAUGUGAAAUCCCUGGGCUUAACCUAGGAAUUGCAACUCAGACUGUAUGACUAGAGAGCAGUAGAGGGUAGUGGAAUUUCCGGUGUAGCGGUGAAAUGCGUAGAGAUCGGAAGGAACACCAGUGGCGAAGGCGACUACCUGGACUGACACUGACGCUGAGGCGCGAAAGCGUGGGGAGCAAACAGG
rnacentral:rRNA from 1 species